UUUAAGCAGCACAAGUUCAGCUGCAGAAGAGCCACGUGGUUCCAGGGCUGGUGUCCACUGUUCCCUCCUCAGGCUAAAUUGCAGAAUGGAAUUUUGGGCAGCCCGUGUGGCCUGGGCUACACUGGCCUGGCAAUACCAGGCCAUCAGCAGGGAGCUGCAUCAGAAAUGGAGCAACCGGGACUCGGACUGGUGCCCAUAUGGGAUGCUGGAGCCACAGUGCAAUUCCCAAUAGUUAAGAUAUGGAAUCAACCCGGAUGUCCAUCAGCUGAUGACUGGAUAAAGCAAUUAUGGUAUAUACACUAUGGAAUACUACUCAGUGGUUAAAAAAAGAAAGAAAGAAAUCCUGUCAUUUGCAACAAAAUGGAUGCAACUGGAAAUCAUUAUACUUACUGAAAUAUGCCAGUCCCCAUAUACAAAUACCAUAUAUUUUCCCUGAUCUGUGGUAAGUAAUAGAGUACCAAAAAUGUAAUGUAUAUGAGUGAAAUUGACAUUUUUAUCUUCAAUGAUUGUUUACAGCCCUGAACAGUAUGUGUUUUCUUCUUCUUUUUUUUUUUUUUUUUUAAGAAGUUUUUAUUUACUUGAAAGGCAGAGUUACAGAGAAGCAGAGACAGAGAGAGACAGGUCUUUCAUCUGCUGGUUCACUCCCCAGAUGGCUGAAACAGCUGGAGCUGGCCAAUCUGAAGCCAGGAUCCAGGAGCUUCUUUUGGGUCUCCCACAUGGGUGCAGGGGCCCAAGAACUUGGACCAACUUCCACUGCUUUCCCAGGUCAAAGCAGAGAGCUGGAUAAGAAGUGGAGCAACUGGGACUUGAAACAGUGCCCAUGUGGGAUGCCAGCACUGCUGGUGGUGGCUUUACCUGCUAUGCCACAGCGCCGACCCUCUUUUUUUUCCCUUGUAACUAUUUGAUGAACUCUUUACUUAGUGUAGAGUUAAUUUGAUGAGUAUAAAGUAAACUGAAAAUAGAUCAUUGUAAAAAUUAAUAGAGGGGUUAGGAGAGGAAGAAGGAGGAAGGGUGGGAGCAUGGGCAGGAGGGAGGGCAGGGUAGGAAGUAUCACUAUGCUCCUAAAUCCAUAUACAUGAAAUACAUGAAAUUUGUAUACCUUAAAUAAAAUUUAAAAUGUAAAAUGUAUUUAUUCAUAUGAUAGGCAGAGUAACAGAGAGAGAUAGAGACAGGUAAAGAGAGAGUGAGAGAGCUCCCAAAUCACAACAGUAGGUUGAGCAAGGCUGGAACAAUGUCAGGAGCUAGGUUUUCCCUGUGAGUGGUAGGGACCCAGUUACUUGAGCCGUCUCCAUUUCCUCCUGGGAUCUGCAAUAGCAGGAAGCAGGAGUCAGGAUCCAGAGUUGGAUUCUGAGCCUUUGUAUUCUGAUAUGGGAUCUGGGCGUUUUAACUGCUAAGCUAAACUUAACAUUAUAAAGAUAAAAAAGAGAUAAAAAUGCUAAAAAAAUAUACUAACGCUCCAUUCCUUCCCAUGUUUUGAAUUUUUGAUAUACCACUUUACAACUUUCCAUAUUGCUUAUUUCUUAACAACAGUUACUAUUUUAAAAUUGUUUUCUGCUUUUAUCUUCAUUGAAUCAUUUCUCUACAUUUUCUUGAAGUUCUUUGAGUGUUCUACAAGCAGCUAUUUUUAAUUUUUCAUGCAAGAAUUUACUGGUGUCAACUGCUAUCUAGUUGGUUUCUGACACUUUAUUUAUUUCCAUAGGUGAAGUCGUGAAUUCCUGGAAGUUCUUGAUAAGUAUUGGUAUAGAAUGUUACCAGUGAAUUGAAGGUUAGUCAUUUUUCCCAAUCUUCAUACUUUGGCUUUCAUACUUCUGACUGCCUUCCAGAAAGUUUAAGCAGUUAGUUUUAUUUUCUCUGAGCUAUUAGACACUUCUUUUAUUUAACACUGGAUGGAGCACAAACUUGAGCUUAGCCGAGUCCACUGCUGGUGUGCAAUCACUAUUUAAGCACAAGAGGGAGUCCCAGUCCCAGUUUUCUCCCAAUUCUGCAGUUGGUGCGUUGCUCAGAAUGAACUGGGGAAAGGUAGUCAGUCUUUGCCAGCCUCUUCCUGAGGCUGGAUUGGGUCCACAAACCUAGUUCUGUGGCUGCCAGUGCUAUGAUCCUAGGUCACGCCCAGAGCCUACAGCCUGGCAGUACCAGUGCAAUACUGGCGUAGAACCAAGGACCACACUACUAUGGGCUGUUCCUGUUGAGGUAACUUGUGCCCUGAGGCUACUACAACCAGGAGAAGGUGAUGUGGGCUAGAUACUCAUCUGAGCAACUGGAGCCAUGGAUCUCCACUUGGCACCAUAGUAGGGCCAGGGGAUCUAUCCAUUGGCACUGGCUUGGGGGCAAGGACUGUUGGCAUCUGUCCAGCGUUGUCCCAAGAGACAGUCCUGAGCUCACUUUCUCAAACUAUUCUUUUGCAGUUAAAGUCUUGCUACUUGCUGUCUGCCUGAGGUUGGAGUGGAGGUACUCCUUUGGUCAUCUAGGCUGAUAGUAAGCUAGGUUAUGCCUGGAUCUCACAGUCACCAGUCCCUCUUUAUUCUCAAGGCUGAUGGUGAUAUAAUUUGAAACAAGUCUGACCCACCAGGAUACAGGUCUCCCUCUGACGCUGGUUCAGGACUAGAGGCUCCAGCUGUGAACACUGACCUAACGAUAGAGAUCUUUUGGGAUUUAUCUGCUUCUGGGUCUCACUAUGACAGUCUGGCACUGAGCUCCAAAUCAGAGUCUUGGGUUUACUUUCCUUCCAUACUCCCCAGUGGUUGGAAUAUUGCCUUGCAGUCUGCUAGAGACUGAGAAAGGCUGGUGGAGGAGAUGCUUUGGCCACCUGGCUCGAAAGGAUCAAAACACUCAGUCUGCAGAAACAGGGCUGGGAACUGGGGCCACAGGGUCCUGUGUGGCCUUGGGGUUUACCACCCUGCUCUAGUACUGGCUUUCAAAUGUAAUGUAUGUGAUCAGUUCCCUCUCCCUCUCCAAGUAGGAGCUGAGGCAUCUCUCUCCAUAUUGAGCCACUUGGAUUUGAGUGAGGGAUGACAUAAGCAACUCUUUUUUUCUUCUUUCUUCAAUGCAUUUUUUUCCUAUUACUAUACUAAAACCAGGCACCAGGGUCUCUUGCCUGGCUUCUUUAGCUCUUGUGAAGGUGACUUGGGGGCAUGAAUAGUUGUCCAAAUUGGUGUCUUUAUGGGGAGAUGAUUGCUAGAGUGCCUUAUUCAGCUGCCAUCUGGCUCUGCUCUUCCCGCUGUGUAUUUUUAUCUAUUAGCUCAUGCACUCUUUUUAAAAGGAGAGGGAUGCAUGUCCACUUUCAGGGACCACGAGAAGUCUCUGGAAGCCUGGUAGGCUUUCCCAUCUCCAUGGAAACACCUCCUCAUCAUGAACUAGUGGUGUUGGAGUAAGAAGAGCACUGAGUGAUUGCAGGCGCUAACCGGGCUCUGUAGAGGGUUGGGCUUUCUAUUUCUGGGAAACGAGGGAGGGAGGAUGUGGUUUCAGGGAACUGAAAGAAUGCCCAGCAGCUGCGUGAUCAGAGGAGAAUGAACUGAAAUGCGGAAAUUUGGGACAGUAUUUGCUGAAAUUUCUAGAAACUCCUUUCUCUAGGAGAUGAGCCUUAGCUUCAGAAAAACCUGUUGCUGCAGAAAAACUGUGUGUUGUGUGUAUCUACUGAUACUGGCCGUGGAGGGGAGGGUGGCUGCAGGAGCGUGUUUUGUGGGUUCUUUCCCUCAGCUUAGUAUAGAAAUAAGCAGCCAGAGAACAAUUUGCAAAGAGGCAGAAACUUUUACUACAUAGAAAAGAAACUUUGAUUGGAAAGCGACAGAGAAAGGUGCGGUCCGAGAGGAGAGCAGGCAGAGUGCCCAGGUGGGACACUGGCUCUGAGCAAGUGUCCCGGGCUUUUAAGGCAUUACUGCUUUUCAUUGGGUCAUUCUGUGGGGGUUUCACAUACUGUAUGUUGACUGGCUUGGGGCUCAUGGAGAUAGCAGGGGUCUCCUGGAGACAGUCUGUUUCCUUAGGGGCUCAGCCCCCUCCGCUGGUAGCUCGGGGUGGAAGAUUGCAACUAACUUGAAGGUGUGGUUUAAAACCCCAAGGGUCACACAAGAUGGCCUGGACCUCCUGGAGCCAGUCCACUCUCCCCAGGGGCUCAAUCCCUUCCUCUGCCGGCUCCGGGUGAAAGAUAGCGACCACUCUAAAGGUGUCAUUUAGGCUGCAAGGUCACACAUGCAGCUAUUAGAGGGGGAGAUGCCAGUUAGUCUGGGGACAAGCUUUCCAGCUGCAGCUGGCAGCCUGCUUAUAAAGGACACUCUACCUACGACCGAGAGGCCCACGGAUUCCUCCCACCCCACAGCCUCACCGGAUGGCCUCAUCUGCCAUGACUUCUUCUUCUUCUUUUUUUAAAAAGAUUUAUUUAUUUAUUUGAAAGGCUGAGUUACACAGAGAAAGAAGGAAAGGCAGAGAGAGAGAGAAGUCUUCCAUCCACUGGUUCAUUCCCCAGUUGGCUGCAACGGCCGGAACUGUGUGGAUCUGAAGCCAGGAGCCAGGAGCUUCUUCCUGGUCUCCCACGUGGGUGCAGGGGCCCAAGGACUUGGGCCAUCUUCCACUACUUUCCCAGGACAUAGCAUAGAGCUGGAUCGGAAGUGGAGCAGCCGGGACUAGAACUGGCGCCCAUAUGAGAUGCUGGCACUGCAGGCGGCGGCUUUAUCUGCUAUGUCACUGAGCCGGCCCCCAUGGCUUCUUUUUAAGAGUCUGAGUUUAGCCUUUUGCCUGGAACUACAAGAUAACUAGAAACUUUGAACAAAAAUAGGGCAGUUCUUUUGUUGGAAGGGAUCAGCACGCUUAAGUCUUGGCCUAUGAAAGAACACAGUAGGCUUUUUGUGAGCAAUUUGUGUCCUCUUUAUGAGGCUGUGUGAGAUAAUUUUUUUGCAGUAUGAGGAAAAACUUUAGAACUAGAAAGACUGAACAAAUGCAGUGACUUGUUAUAAUAACCUCAAGCUGAUUGUGUUUCCUUCUUUGCUUUUUAUGCUUAGAAGUGACAUGGGAUAGGUAGGCAGCUAGCUAGGUAGGUCUGCUGAGCUGGAAGUCAUAAGCCCCAUAUGAUUCUAUCUUCCUACUUGUCAAUCAAAAUGCCCUCUUUCCCAGGAUACAUCUGCUUCAUCAGGGACCUAGGGAGGACUGCCAUGAAAAUACGGAUGUUGAACUCUAUAGGGAAUUUGUGGAGAUGCCAUGUAAUUUCCAGGGGACUUUAUACCUAGAGGUACCACCCCCAACCUCAAAGUCAAGGCCAAUAAUUGGGAGGGGCGCUCUCUCUCUCUCUCUCUCUCUCUCUCAUUCCCUCUCUCCUGCUAUAAAACACAGCUGAAGGGGCUGCAGGGUGCUCUUUCCCUAUUUCCCCUACCCUAACUUCUUUCAGGAAUCUUCUGGCCCCAUGCUGUGUGUGUGUGUUCACGUUUUCACCUUUUAAAUAAAUUUUUAUCACUUUGUGCACCUUCUAUGUAUCAGCACUUAUCAUGUGUGUCUUUGUACAUGACAAAAGCCUGGAGUAAAAAUUUAUGCACCCCUCUCCCACAUCAGAAGCACAAAGAUUUCAGGCCCACUUUUAACUACAUAGAACCUUAAAAAAUAAUGCUUUUAACAUUGUUUCUGGAUUUAUUUUCCUUUCCAAUUCCUCUUUAUAUUAAUUUAUCACAAAUAGUUCAAUAAAGUGAUAUGUAAAUUUGAGCAGUUUUCUAUUCAUCAGAUAUAACUGAUUGAGAAUCUCCCGAUUAAAAAAAAGAUUACCCAUAUAUAAUGAUAAACAUAAAGCAGCCACUUUCUAAAUAAUUCUUUUGAGAAAUGCCUGGAACUUAUUUAAAAUUUAAAUGGAAAAGUAUUUCUAAGAUAUGUAAAAGAAAACUUAAAUGGAUAACUAUAUAAUAUUCUCAUAUAGAAAGAAAGGUAUUUUAGUCUUCUUAGAUCUCCAUGAUGAAACAGCACAGACUGGGGCUGCUAGGGUCUGAAUGUUUGUGUCCCCCUAAAAUUUGCACUUUGAAAUCAUCACCCCAAAAUGAUAGUAUUAGGAAGUAGGCUCUUUGAUGAUUAGAUCUUGAUGAAGUAGAGCCUCCAAAAAUGGGAUUAGUUCCCAUUUCAAGAGACCCUGGUGUAUUCCCUUAUGCCUCCCACCAUCAGUAGCUUCCAUCUAUGAAGCAGGAAACUCAUCAAGACACCAAGUCUCUUGGUACCUUGAUCUUGAACUUUCUGCUUUCCAAAACUGUGAGAAAUUUCUGCUGUUUAUGAACUAUUCAGCCUAUAGUAUUUUGUUAUUACAGUAUCCCAAACAGGCUACGACAGGUGGUUUUAACCACAAAAAUUAAUUUUGUCAUAGUUCUGGAAGUCAGAAGUCCACGAACAAGGUGCCAAUACAUUCUGUUUCUGGUCAGGGCUCUCAUUUUGACUUGAAGACAGAUGGAUUUUGCUGUGUCCUCACAUGGCCUUUUUUCUGUGCACAUGCUGUGGGUGAGAACUCUGCUGUUCCUCCUAUUCUUAUAAGGGCACCACUUCUUUUGAAUUAGAUGAAUUGAUGACUUGAUUUAGCCUUAAUCACUUUUCUAAAAGGCCAAAUCACUUUGCGGACAGGAGAAGUGUUAGGACUUCAAUAUAUGAAUUUUUGGGGAACACAAUUCAGUUUAUAACAAAGGGAGGCAAUGAAGACAUUGGCUCAAGCCUGACAAAUGAAUUUCCAGUUCUGGUGCUGAGGCUGUUUUGUUGUUGUUGGUGGGGGGGGGGGGUUGUCAGGGGCUAGAGGCUGAGGAACCUAAAUAUGAUUGCUUCCUUCAUCUGAAAGAAUACAUUCCAACAUGUUCUGAGUAAGAGUAUAUGGGGAUUAAGGGGACUGGAAAGAUUAUUCACGUUAGGUACUGAACAUAAUAGAAAAUUAUACAUAUGUGCAUAUAUUUAUAUAUUAAAGAUUCAUUUAUUCAUUUGAAAUGCGGAGAUACAGAGAGAGAGGGAGACACAUAGAGAAGGAGAGAGUUUCCAUCUUGGUUCACUCCCCAAAUGGCUGCAAUGGCCAGAGCUGGGCCAGGCCAAAGCCAGGAGCCAGGAACUUCAUCCGGGUCUCCCAUAUAGGUGGCAGGGGCCCAAGCACUUGGGCUAUCUUCUGCAUUUUUCCCAGGCACAUUAUUAAGGAGCUGGAUUAGAAGUUGAGCAGCAGGGACUCAAACUGGUGCUCACAUGUGAUGCUAACCCCAAGCAUGCAGGGGCGGCUUGACCUGCUGGCCCCAAGCAUAUUCACUUUUAACAUAGGACGCCGGCACCCCGGGUUCUAGCCCUGGUCGGGGUGCUGGAUUCUGUCCCGGUUGCACCUCUUCCAGGCCAGCUCUCUGCUGUGGCCAGGGAGUGCAGUGGAGGAUGGCCCAAGUCCUUGGGCCCUACACCCGCAUGGGAGACCAGGAGAAGCACCUGGCUCCUGGCUUCGGAUCAGCACGGUGUGCCAGCCGCAGCAGGCCUGCCGCAGCGGCCAUUGGAGGGUGAACCAAUGGAAAAGGAAGACCUUUCUCCCUGUCUCUCUCUCUCACUGUCCACUCUGCCUGUCAAAAAAAAAAAAAAAAAAAAAAAAAGAUAAGUCUUUAGGAAAGGGGGAGUUUGCAUUUACUUAUUUAUUUAUAUUUGUAAUAAAUGAUGCAAAAUUGAUAGCAAAGGGGGAAAUUCCCUUGUCCUCCUCAUUAAAAACAAAAUGUAGAUGUAUUACAGUUAAGUGAUUUAAAAAAAUCAAAUCACUGAAAGAUACAAGCAAAUCUUUAUCAAAUCUUUGAAGAUACCAGUAUUUUACUUUUUAAAUGCAGAAGUCAUGAGAAUAAGAUUAUAAGAAAUAUAGAUUUUUCGUAGAUAAGAGUCAAAACUUUUGCAUGUUUGAAAAGGAGAAAUAAAAAAUAAUCAAAAGUAUCUGUUACCUGUAUGAGAGACACAUGGUGGCACUUGGGAAAAUGUGUCAUUUUCUUUACAGGGCUCUCCCUUUCCAUGAACUUAGUGCUGUGUAAUUACUUCCUCCCUUUCUCCUUAAAUUAUAUAAAAUAUAUACAAUCAAAUUCAAGGGUUUGUUGUAUACAUAUGCAAGGACCCUUUCCUAAGUUUAUAAGAAAGUGGAAUUAAACAAUGUUAAUUUUUUUUGAAAAAAAAAAUCUCAGAGAUCAUGCAUAUGAGUGGGUUUUAAAAACCUUCAUGGGAAAUGAAUAUUAAGAAAGUGUGCAUGGAUUUUGAAAUAUUUUUGCACCAAAAUAAACUUAUCACUCAUUAUUUUGAAAAAUUUUGUUAUCAUGAGAGGCAAAGACUCUCACAUCUACUGUUUCACUCCCCAAAUGCCUAGAAGCCAAGAAUUCAGUUCAAGUAGUUGAGUGGCAGGGACCCAGCCACUGGAGCCAUUACUGGUGCCUCCCAGGGUGUUCAUUAGCAGGAAAGUGCAAUCAGGAGUGACACUGGGACUGCAACCCAGACACUGCCAUAUGGGUUGGGGCAUCCCAAGCAGUGUCUUAGCUGCUGGGCCAAAUGCCCACCCUAGACUUAUUUUAUCAAUUAUAUUUUUCUAGAAAUGUUUUAAAAUAUACUUGUGUCUAUUUGUGUAUGUAGUGGUGCCUAGUAAGCCUCUGUGUACUUUAAAAAGAUUUAUUUAUUUAUUUCAAAGGCAAAGCAAGGUGGUGGGGGAGAAGGAGAAAGAAGGAGAGAAAGAAAGAAAGAGAUCUUCCACCCACUGGUCCACUCUCUAAAUGGCCACAACAGUCAAGUGUUGGACAGGCUAAAGCCAGAAGUCAUGAGCUCCUUCCUGGUCUUCCAUAUGGUGGGAGGGGCCCAUGUACAUGGGCCAUCUUCCACUGCCGUCCAAGGCACACUUGCAGGAAGCAGAAUGGCUGGGGCUGGAACCAGGCACUCUCAUAUGGGAUUGUUGGCCCAGCAAGUGGUGACUUUACCUGCCACCCUGCAACACCAAUACCAGUCUGUGUGUGUGUCUCUGUGUGUUUGAGAAGUUUGUGUGGGUAGGGUGAGACAAGUGAGUGUGGAUUAGUUCUUUUAUGAAAAAAAUUUUACUACUGAUUUUUAAAAAUUUAUUUAAAAAGCAAGUAGAGAUGGAGGGAGGGAGGAAAGGGGGGAGAGAGAGAGAGAGAGAGAGAGAGAUCUUCCAUUUGCUUGUUCAUUCCCCUAUUCGUAUGCUUGCAAUUGCCAGGGCUAGGCCAGGACAAAGCCAGGAGCCUGGGACUCAAUCCAGGUCUCCCUUGUGAGUGUUAGGAACCCAAGCACUUGAGACAUCAUCCACUGCUUUCCCAGGUGCUUUAGCAGUAAACUGAUCGAAAUCCAGGACUCAACUAGGCACUUUGAUAAGCGAUGCAAGCAUUCCAACUGGUGGCUUAAUCCACUGCACUACAAUGCUCACCUCAUAGCUCUUUAACUAGUUUAAUCUCAUAUCCUACUUCCUCCUGCAAAACCAUCUUGAGGACUGCCAUGUCUCGCAUAAAUUGUGUAACAUUAGGCUAGGGAGAGAAGAAACUGGUCUGGGAUGUGCUUUAGUCUGUCCAGGCUAUUAUAACAAAACACGAUAAGCUGUGUCACUUAAAAAUAAUAGAAAUUUAUUUCUCACUCAAUCUUCUUGCAGCUGGAAAGGCCAAGACCAAGGCACUGAGAGAUCCUGUUUCUGAUGAGGGCUGCUGCCUCUUUCACAGAGCAAGCCUAUUAUUUAUUUAUUUCAAUUAUUUAUUUAUUAGAGAGAGACAGUAAGAGGGAGAGAUAAAGCACUCCUGUCUCCUGGUUCAUUCCCCAAAUGCCCACAGUGACCAAGGCUGGGCUGGACCAGGCUGAGCCAGGCUGACCUUGGGAGCUGGGAACUCAAUCCGGAUCUGGACAUGGAUGGCAGAGACACAACUACCUGGAUCGCCACCACUGCCUUCCAGGAUCUGCAUUGGCAGGCAACUGGAGUCAGGACCCAGAGCCAGGAAUUCAACCAUGGUACUCCCAUCUGUGACAAAGGUGUCUUAACCUGUUUAUUAAUUCAUAGGCCAAAGACCCUUUUUACUGUGUUCUCACAUGGUAGAGUGGACAGGGGGUCCCCUUGACCCUCUUUUAUAAGGACACUAAUCCCAUUCACCAGGACUCUGCCAGCUCAUACCUUGAUCACCUUCCAAUGCUCCCCCUCAUGAUACCAUACCCCUGGGACUAAGGAUCUCAAAAUAUGAAUUUGGGGGGACGCAAACAUUCAGACUAUAAUGGGGUGAGACUGAUUUCCAGGGACCAAUUCUGCUUCCUCUGAUUAUACCUGGGGUAAUCCUUGUUUUCUCACUCUCCCCGCCCCCAGUAGGCCUUUCAGAGUGGACAACGUGUCCUGACAUCCACCCCCUCACUUCUCCUCUUCCUUCUGCUUUUCUGUUGGGGUGGCUGGUACAGAGAGGUGGCUGAUGCUCCAUCCUGGACUUGGGGAAAGGGGAGAACUUGCAGCCCUUGGCUCUUGGCACUUCUUCUGGCCCUUCCUUCAUUAGUAGUUGCAACAAAAGUGCUGUUUACAAUGGCAAUUAAUGGCAAAAAGGAAAAGUAAUUUGACAUCAAAGUUUAAAACAGUCACCCAGGAGUCGGCAUUUUGGUGUAGUGGGUAAAGCCCAUGAUGCUGGCAUCCCAUAUAGGUGCUGUUGUGAAUGAGCUCCUAAGGGGACCAUGGCUGGGGGACCCACACCAUCAGGUGACUGUGGCUGAUGCCAUGCUGUUCUGUGGGUCAGUGACAGGGCACGCAUCCCCAAGGUGCAACUGUGCAUGCCAACCUGCCUAUCUGUGAGCCUAAUGGGCACUGGUUUGUGUCUCAGUUGCUCUACUUCUGAACCAACUCCCUGCUCAUGGAAAAGCAGUGGAUGAUGGCCAAAUUCUUGGGCCACUGCUAUCCAAGUGGGAAACCCAGAUGAAGCUCCUAGCUCCUGGCUCCUGCCUGGCCCAACCCUGGCCAUUGCAGACACUUGGGGAAUGAAACCAGUGGAUGGAAGAUAUCUCUCCCUCUCUCUGUGUCUCUCCCUCUCUGAACCUCUGACUCCCGAAUAAAUAAUCUUUAAAAAAAAAGUCACCCAGGCCAGUGCCAUGGCUCUGCCUGCGGCGCCGGCAUCCCAUAUGGGUGCCGGGUUCUAGUCCCGGUUGCUCCUCUUCCAGUCCAGCUCUCUGCUGUGGCCCAGGAGGGCAGUGGAGUAUGGCCUAAGUGCUUGGGCACCUGCUCCUGCAUGGGAGACCAGGAAGAGGUACCUGGCUCCUGGCUUUGGAUCGGCGCAGCGCUGGCCGUAGAGGCCAUUUGGGGGAGUGAACAAACGGAAGGAAGACCUUUCUCUCUGUCUCUCUCUCUCUCACUGUCUAUAACUCUACCUGUCAAAUAAAUAAAAAGAAAAAUAAAAAAAGUCACCCAAACAAUAGCUAAAGGGCUAAUAUCUUUGCUGUAUAUAUGUUUGACAAAACUCAAUAAAAAGUGCACCAAACCACAAAAGAUAGAAGAUCAAUAGACAUGAACCACUGAGUACAAAAGAGAAAACAGGAGUCUCAAACUCAGGGACUUUGGAAGUAGACUGCAUGGGUUAAAAUACUCCUCUUACCUCUACUUGUAUAUCUUUGGAUAAGUUAGUUAAUUUCUAUAUCUUAGUUUCUUCAUCUGUAAAAUGGGGAUAGUAAGAGUAAUAAUGAUAACACUUAACAUCUAUGAUUAUUUUAAGUACCAAAAUACAAAAUUCCUAGAAUAUGCCUAGCAUAUAUGCUAUUUAAGUGAUACAUUAAUAAUGUUAUUAUCAUUGCACUGGAGAUGUAAAAAUGGGGCUGUUGCUGUGGCGCAGUGGCUUAAGCUACUGCUAAUAAUGGCAGCAUCCCAUGUAUGUGCUUAUUCAGGUCCCAGCUGCUCCACUUCUGAUCCAGCUCCCUGCUAAUGUACCUGGGAAAGCAGGUGAAGAUGGCCCAAGUGCUUGGGCCCCUGCCACCCACAUAGGAGACCUGGAUGAAGGUCCUGGCUCCUGACUUUGGCCUGGCCCAGCCCUGGCCAUUGUGACCAUUUGGGGAGUGAACCAGCAGAUGGAAAAUAUCUCUCUCUGUAAAUCUGCCUUUCAAAUAAAUAAAUAAAUCUUAAAAAAUGUAAAAAUGCUUAGUGAAAAGUAGUAAGAAACUACAUAAAAUUAAAAAAUGUAAAACACAAGGCAUAGUGAAAUUGCCAUUCUUUUAAAAAAUUUAUUUAUUUAUUUGAAAAACAGAGUUACACAGAGAGGGAGGGAGAGAGACAGAGAGAGAGAGAGAGAGAUCUUCCAUCUACUGGUUCACUCCCCAAAUGGCUGCCACAGCCAGGGCUGGACCAUGCUGAAGUCAGGAGCUAAGAGUUUUAUCCAAGUCUCCCACAUGGGGGCAGGGACCCAAGGACUUGGGCCAUCCUCCUCUGCUUUCCUGGCUGCAUUAGCAGAGAGCUGGAUCAGAAGUGGAGCAGCCAGGACAUGAAUGGGUGCCCCUAUGGGAUGCCAGCGUUGCAGGUGGUGGCCUCACCUCUACACCACAAUAUGCUGACCCCAAAAUUGGUGUUCUUACACAAGGAGGGUAGUAUUUAAUACAGAUUUCAUACUUAGGGUAAGAAACUUUGUUUUGCACACCUUGAAUUAUCAGAACUGUUGACCUGGUAAUUGCAAUAUAUUUUAAGUUUUACUUAUUUAUUUGAAUGGUAGGUAGAAAGAGAUCUUCCAUCCACUGGUUCUCUUUCCAAAUGGCUACAAAGGCUGAUUGUGGUCCAGGCCAAAAUCAGGAACCUGGAACUCCAUCCAUGUCUCCCAUGUGGAUGGCAGGGACCCAAGCACUUGCGUCAUUUUUACUGCUUUCUCAAAGACAUUGGCAGGCAGCUGGAUUGGAAGUGGAGCAGCUAGGACUCAAACUGGCCUCAGAUAUGGGAUGUCAGCAUUGCAGGUGGCAGCUUAACCUGCUGAGCCAUAAGGCUGCCCCUAGUGACUGUACUCUUAAGAAUCCAUCUUUUUUUUUUUUUUUUUUUUUUUUUUUGACAGGCAGAGUGGACAGUGAGAGAGAGAGACAGAGAGAAAGGUCUUCCUUUUCCGUUGGUUCACCCCUCAAUGGCCGCUGCGGCCGGCGCACUGCGCUGAUCCGAAGCCAGGAGCCAUGUGUUUUCCCUGGUCUCCCAUGCAGGUGCAGGGCCCAAGGACUUGGGCCAUCCUCCACUGCACUCCUGGGCCAUAGCAGAGAGCUGGACUGGAAGAGGAGCGACUGGGACAGAAUCCGGCGCCCUGACCGGGACUAGAACCUGGUGUGCCGGCGCCGCAGGCGGAGGAUUAGCCUGUUGAGCCGCCGCGCUGGCCAGGAGUCCAUCUUAAAGAGUGAUCUUAAAAGUUCCUUUUUGUAUCAGGAUGACCAUUUUAGCAUUAUUUGUCAUCAUAUAUAGUUGUGAAUAAACUUUCAGAAAUGGAAUAAAGAAAAUCACAAAGCUAAGAUUUAUUAAGGGCUUCUCCAGCUGCUACACUUGGCUCUUUUCAUCAAUUUUUUUUCACUUAAUCAUCACAAUGACCUGAAAAGGCAGAUACUAUUAUUGUUUCCCUUUUUUUUUUAUCCAGCUAACAAAAUGUUUGUGAUCAAAAGAAUAACUUGAACAAUGCUUGUGCAAGUGGUAAAUAUAAAAGCAAGAUACUUAUUGUAAACAAUGUGAUUUUGGCUUGCAUAUUAAAAUGUUUCUGUGAGCAAAAUCUAUUGAAAAAAUUCCAUGAAAGGCAAAGAGUUGGGGCCAGCAUUGUGGCAUAGUGGAUAAAACCACAGCCUGCAAUGCCAGCAUCCCAUAUGGGCACCAGUUCCAGACCCAGCUGCCCUGCUUUCGAUCCAGCUCGCUGAUAAUGGCCUGAGAAAAGCAGCGGAAGAUGGUCUAAGUGUCUGGGUCCUUGCCACCCACAUGGGAGACCUGGAAAAGGCUCCAGGCUCCUGGCUCCUGGCUUCGGCCUGGUCCAGCCCUGGCUAUUGUAAUUUGAGGAGUGAACCAGUAGAUGAAAGAUCUCUGUCUCUGUUUCUCUCUCUCUAACUCUGCUUUUCAAAUAAAUAAAUAAUUUUUUUAAAAAAGACAGUUGUUAUUUAUUAAAAUUUGUGUUUGUGAAUGUUCAAAAAAAUUUUUUAACGAUUCAUUUAUUUUUUCUUGAAAGUCAGAGUUACACACAGAGAGAAGGAGUGUCAAAGAGAGAAAGAGAGGUCUUCCAUCCACUAGUUCACUCCCCAAUUGACUCCAAAAGCCGGCGUUGCACUGAUCUGAAGCCAGGAGCCAGGAGCUUCUUCCAGGUCUCCCACACAGGUACAGGGGCCCAGGGACUUGGGCCAUCUUCUACUGCUAUCCCAGGCCCUAGCAGAGAGCUUGAUCGGAGGUGGAGCAGCCAGGACUUGAACCGGCGCCCAUAUGGGAUGCUGGUACGGCAGGCGGUGGCUUUACCAUAACAAUAAAGCUUUCCAACGUGACUUUACUUUUUUAAAACAUAAUUAUUUUAUUUAUUUAAAAGACAGAGCUACAGAGAGAGGUAGAGACACAGAGAGAGAGAGGUCUUCCAUUCCACUGGUUCACUCCCCAAAUGACCACAAUGGCCAGAGCUGAGCUGAUCCAAAGCCAGGAGCCAGCAGGUCCCCAACGUGGGUGCAGGGGCCCAAGGACUUGGGCUAUCUUCCACUGCCUUCCCAGGCCAUAGCAGUGAGCUGGAUGGGAAGAGGAGCAGCCAGGACACGAACAGGCGCCCAUAUGGGAUGCCGGUGCUGCAAGGCUGGGGCUUUAACCCACUGCGCCACAGUGCCAGCCCUCAAUCACAAUUUUAAAAAAUAAAAAAUAACAGGAUCAGCACUGUGGCUUAGUGGGCUAAGCCUCUGCCUGUGACUCUGGCAUCCCAUAUGGGUGCUGACUCAUGUCCUGGCUGCUCCUGUUCCAAUCCAGCUCUCUGCUAUGGCCUGGGAAGGCAGUGGAAGAUGACCCAUGUGGUUGGGCCCCUGCACCCUCAUGGGAGACUUGGAGGAAGCUCUUGGCUCCUGGCUUCAGAUCACUCAGCUCCAGCCAUUGCAGUCCUGUUCUGGCUGUUGCGGCCAUUUGGGGAGUGAACCAGUGGACUUGGGCCAUCUUCUGCUGCUUUCACAGACCAAAGCAGAGAGCUGGAUUGCAAGAGGAGCAGCUGGGACACCAACUGGUACCCAUAUAGGAUGCCAGCACUGCAGGCAGAGGCUUAGCAUAUUAUGCCACAGCGCCGGCCCACAGCCAGAUUUCUAAGAGCAAUAGUUUGGGGUAAGCAUUUAGCCUAGCAGCAAAGAUGCCUGCAUCCUAAAACAGAGUAUCUGGGUUUGAUUUCUAGCUCAAGCUCUUUUUUUUUUUUAACUUUUAUUUAAUGAAUAUAAAUUUC